UACGUAGGGUGCGAGCGUUGUCCGGAAUUAUUGGGCGUAAAGAGCUCGUAGGCGGUCUGUCGCGUCUGCUGUGAAAACUCGGGGCUUAACCUCGGGCCUGCAGUGGGUACGGGCAGACUAGAGUGCGGUAGGGGAGACUGGAAUUCCUGGUGUAGCGGUGAAAUGCGUAGAUAUCUGGAGGAACACCGGUGGCGAAGGCGGCAUUCUGGACCGGCAUUGACGCUGAGACGCGAAAGCCAGGGGAGCAAACGGG
rnacentral:rRNA from 1 species